GUGUCAGUGCGAAAGGAAUCGUGUGGUGUUAAACAAAGGGAAAGGGGCAGUCUGGAGUCUUCAGCGGAAGAGCAGUAAAUGACGGAUAUGGGCGACAUUUCCUAAUUCCUAGAUCUAACUGUGGAGGUAGCCUAAUUGUAUUUUACAACGGGAGACUAGUUGUCCGUGGCACCAUAAGCGUCGAUAGCGACCUUAAACAAUAUCAGUGUCGAAAACUUUCAGUCAAUUUGUUUGGUUUGUUUUUGUACUAGUCUGUCGUUCUUGUGAGAACAUGCAUUCAUGCUUGCGUUUCAGGUGUCUUUAUGAAAUGAAGAGGGCGAUGACCCGAUCUUGCCUUUGUGGCGAAUGAAACUUUCGUAGCAGAUAAUUUAAGGCAUUUAUUAAAAGAGAAUCACCAUUUUCUGUAUUUUAGGAAUUUACACUUGGGAAACAAGUCUGAUAACUGUCUGUUCACAAGAAUAUGCUUCAACUAGCUGACUCUUCUCUUCCCUUGGUCCUUUCUCAUUUGGUGUCUGUGAUUCAUAAGACAAAUCUGCCUGACUGCUUGUAUUAUAGUGUGAAACCCACCUUCACUUCCCACACUGACUUUUUGUGUGUGAAGUCCAUAAAUCUAGGCCAUAUUUACAUUUUCAGUAUUUAGUUUGGCACUUAAUUCUUUGUGAUGGCAUUGAGUGAUUGGCUCAAUUCAAACCCGAAGAGAAAAAAGGACAGCACCCCAAUAUUGCCAUUCAGAUUUAAUAUUUUUAGAUAACGUUUCAGUACUCUGCAUUUCCACGGUUUUUAUUGUUGCUUUGAUCAAACUCCAAACUCUGAAUCAAAACUGUUUUGAUUUAGGUUGGUUUUUUUCCCAGACAGUGUUACCUUGACAGAUCUUCAGUGGAAUUGACUUGUGCUCUGAGGACCUUGGUGCUUUCUAAUGCUUUUCUUACAACAUGCGGAUGGCUCAUUACUGAUUCAUAUCAGUAAUUCCAAUAAGCAGAUUCAAACUUGUCUUGCUGUCCUUUGAAGAGAUGAACCAUAAUCAGAAUGCCUGGAUUCUCAGCAGAUCCCCCGGAAUAUAGUUGUAGAUUUUCUUACUCAUUUUUAAAAAAAAUUAUGUUAUUUACUCAAAUCAAAGCCAACUUGUAAAUAAUGAUGUGCUUCAUAGUGGUUUUGUUCAAAUGAACUGCCGAUGACUGUCUCACACUGGAAGUUGGAGUUGGAAGAGAGCAUUUGUAUGUGUGGCUUGUGUGGGCACACUGAGAGAUUGUCCGGUCUCUUCCUUCCAGGGUGAUGCCACGGUCAUUUGUACGCUGCCUUCACUGUUGGUACAGUCUUGAUGUGAUACUAGUCUGUGUUGCCCAUUCUCACACUUGAAUAGUGCCUUUAGUGGAUGAGCCAUCUUACCGACUCUUUUAUUUAUUUAUUUUUUUAUUGUUUUAAAUGUACUAUUUCUAGAUUCAAUUCUUUGCUAUACUGGUCAAUGGUGUUUUGCAUUAUGCAAAAUGUAAUUGUACGUUCAACCAAUACAAGAGGUGAAUAAUUGUUCUGAUUAAUGCAUCUCCACAGCAGAUGUGUUGUCAUUGCAUUAUUUUUAGUGAUAUUUCACCCUUUGCAUGUAAAAAUUUUUAGCAAAAAAUUUUGUGUAAAUGGUUACUUAACUUAUUUCUGAUUAUAAAUAGUAGGACUUGCAAUCGUGACAUUUAAAAACAUGCUUGUUUUAAAAACAACCAUAACAAACAUCCAAAAUUGUGUAAGUGCUAUUAUAGGUUAACAUGGCACAGGUUAAUUGCACAAUAUAUUGUCACCUACCUAAUGACAAUCCCCAAACUAAUACGAUUAUAUUAAAAAAUUACGUGAAAUGUGCAUUUGUAUUACCAAUGAGGUGAUAUUAAGUGCAAAUGUUUAUGCCUGAAAACUGAAAUAAAGCAUUCAUAACCGUUUUCUUUGGAAAUCAAAGGCAUUUGUGAUAUGUUAUGUAUUGCCCAGGCCUUGUGUACAGUAACACUGAGUAAACUGAGAGGAAGAAAUGACUGCAGCAAUGCAGAGAAACAGUCUACAGUAGAACUUACCUUGAUAUGAAAAAUGCUGUUACAGAGCAAAACAAGAAAUGUAUAAUGAAUGUAUAAGAAAUGUUUUUAUUGGAAAAAGUAGUACUACUGCAAUUGGAGAAGCAUUAGGUGCCUAGAGUAAGCACAAGAGUGGUUAAAGUGCCUGAAUUGAAAUGGGCUUGCUUUGCUAUAUAAGCUCAUUUGUAUGUAGUGUGAUUUGAAAUGUAGCCCACACGUUUGGAUAACUGAUUGAAUGUGAAAAGGAGCUCAUAUUUUAAUGUGAAUGCAGGUGAUUGCGGAUUGGACUUCCAGGGAAGACAUUAGAAUUUAAUAGAAGUGCAUGAAGUCUCAUUGCAAUUACAACAAAAUUAAAUCCAUCUGAUCUUUAUUUUAGAAUUAGUUAUAUUACUGGGUUAUAUGAUACUCUUGAUAUCACCGGGUAUUAUUGGGACUAGAUUUUUAGUGUUUUAAAUGCAUUGUUAUGCUUUAAAAAGGUCAAUUUAGUUUCUUGCGUGCACGUUGUCCAGAGAGGUAUGGGUCACCCAUGGGAUUUUCUUUGUUUCAUGGUGCACUGAUGACUUCAUCUGUUUGACAGCAUGCACAUAGUCUACCUGCUAUGGCUGCUGCUGAGGUGCGCUCUUCUGAUGCUGUGACUUCACAGCUCAGCUUGACGGAGGAAGUGGCAGUGAUCCUGUGAAUACGAUUGGCAAUUGAAAAUUUGGAGGAGAAAGGGAAAAAAUUCGGGGAUAAAAUUUGUUUUUAGGUAGUGUGGUAGUGUGGCAUGUAUAAGCUGUGACAAGACGUUCACAUGAAAGCUACGGGACAACUUUCCUGAAACAUUUGUUGGGUUAGAAAUAGUAAUUUUCAAAUGCAUAGAAGAUAUUGCUCAAUUGGGUCCACAACUCGGUCUUACAGUGAUUGUGUUCAAAUCCAAAUGAGCAAAAGAACACUUUCACAUUGAUUUAGUAGGAAAUAAAACAUAAUAGUUUGUCCUUAUGUUAGGAUUUGUGUAGUGAAUUGAAUCUUGAAUGCUUUGGAAACUCAUCCAUGUAACAAGUAAAUACUGUAUUGAAAAAGAUAAAUAGCUUUCAUAGAGCGUGGUUUAACCUCUGUGUCCAACUUCAACAUUAUUUCUUCUGAGAGGUCCUUAAUCUUCCCACUAGUAGCAGUGUUGUUCAUUUGAGAUCUGACAUUAUGUCCUGUCAAUAAAAUCUGCCCCCAGUGUAUAUAGCUACACAAUUAGAAUUUCAUUGCCGUGCCUUUCUCUUUUUAGCCAAUGAGAUAGAGCAGCAAGUGAAUGUUGGUGGCCAAAGUCAGCUAGCCAGUGUUUGGCUACCUUUGUCAUUUUUAGGAUGGCUAUUAUGAUACCCCAUAAUCUGGCUUGUUUUACAUGUCAGCUUCCUAUUUCAGAAUUGUGAUGCAAUAUUUGUAACAGGCACGUCAGUUGGAUUGGUUACCCAUUGUCAUUAAUAAUUAUGACUUGCUACCACAGUCUGUACUAGGGCCGCAAUAAUAAAACUAAUCAAGUUAUCGAUUACAAGAAAGAAUCAACAAGAGUUUUGGCAUGGUGUUGAAUUGCUCUAAUAAUAUAGCAUCCUUAUGAUUUAUCAAAAGUGUCCGUCGGUGAACAAGUACAGCUGAGCACUUUUCCAGGAAAAUUAUUGAAAUAGUCUGGCUGUUGCAGAUUAAAGCCUGAAUGCAAUUGUAUGUUUGAAAUUUGGGGAAGUUGUGGACUGGAGAUCAAGUAUUGUUCAUAUCCUUGAUUAUGUCAGUAACUUAAGCAUUGUUUAAAAAUACUUAGAAAAUAGUAAUAAUUUGAGUAAUCGAUAACCAAAUAAAUGCUGCUGCUCUAGUCCGUACUGAAACCUGAAAUAGGGAAAUUGAUUUUGGAGAAUUCAGCCAUGCUGUAUGCGAUUGUGUUGUCAAUGACAGCGCUUCUGAACUACAGUCAACCUGUUUGGACAACAGAGAUGCCCUUAACUUCAUCUAUUGCUGGCGGGUAUGUACUGACUACUGCUGUCAGUUAUUUGCUGACUACAGCUGUCAGUUAUGUACUGACUGUAGUGGUCAAUUAUGUUCUGCCUGUUGGUGGCAAUUAUAUACUGACUCCUGCUGUCAGGUAUGUACUGACUAGUGCUGUCUUGUGACGCUCAUGACUUGUCGUUGUCUCUGCUUGUUGCCUAGACCCAAAUUUAGCACUUUUGAGAAGCCACCUUAUCCACCGCAUGGUACCGGCUCAACUUGACUCGACUCUACUCGUUUUUGGUACCAGGUACUUUGUUUUCCACUGCAGAUAGUACCCCCGUCAAUGUAGCUGGUCGUCAUAGCGACACCGCAUGAAACUGCUGUGACGUCAUCCUCAACGCGACACACACAGGAACAAUGGAAGAUAUCGAAGUGAUGGUGUUCUUGAUUCUCAGUAUAUGGCUGUUUGUCACAGCAACGAGACAAAUUUUGUUUCAGAGGAGGAUGAAGGCAGCAAGACAAAAGACUGCUGAAAAAAAACAGGAGAGUUCGGGAAAUCCUACAUCAGAGCUCAGACGACGAGACAACCCUGGUUGCUCAUUAGCAUAAAAGGCGACGCAAGAAGGUAAGCUAACCUAGUGACGAUUCUCUCUGACCAAUCAGUGGUCUGCAGUGUUUUCACAUCAC